rnacentral:rRNA from 1 species
UACGUAGGGUGCAAGCGUUAAUCGGAAUUACUGGGCGUAAAGCGUGCGCAGGCGGUUUUGUAAGUCUGACGUGAAAGCCCCGGGCUCAACCUGGGAAUUGCGCUGGAGACUGCAAGGCUUGAAUCUGGCAGAGGGGGGUAGAAUUCCACGUGUAGCAGUGAAAUGCGUAGAGAUGUGGAGGAACACCGAUGGCGAAGGCAGCCCCCUGGGUCAAGAUUGACGCUCAUGCACGAAAGCGUGGGGAGCAAACAGG